rnacentral:rRNA from 1 species
UACGAAGGGGGCUAGCGUUGCUCGGAAUCACUGGGCGUAAAGGGCGCGUAGGCGGAUUCUUAAGUCGGGGGUGAAAGCCCAGGGCUCAACCCUGGAAUUGCCUUCGAUACUGAGAGUCUUGAGUUCGGAAGAGGUUGGUGGAACUGCGAGUGUAGAGGUGAAAUUCGUAGAUAUUCGCAAGAACACCAGUGGCGAAGGCGGCCAACUGGUCCGAUACUGACGCUGAGGCGCGAAAGCGUGGGGAGCAAACAGG